CCUGGUUUGCAUGCUGUUGUGGCGAUAGGUCUGCUGUCUUGCUGUUUGCACUUCAUCGUCGUGAAUUGUAAGAUGUCCAGCGAAUCUGAGACAGAUUUUCUGUGGAGCGACGAGGAUCUGGAAAUGUUCCAACCUAAAAAAAAAAAAAAAAAAAAAAAAAACAGAGGAUCGAAAAUUAUGUAGAGAAUGUGGUGCCACAAUAUGACAGGGAAUUUGUAGAACAUUUUCGGGUGCGGCGUCACGUGGCAGAUGAUAUUAGUGAAAGGUUUAGGAAUUUCAGAUUCUACAAUUAUCAGGCAGGGGGACAUGGGAAACUGCUCCCACUGCAGCAUAUAUUGAUCUUUUUGUGGUUCGCUGGCCACGAAGCUGCAGGUUUGAGAUGUCGCAGAUAGAUUUAACAUCUGUAUUUCUUCUCUGCGAUGCGUUAUACAGAGGGUUACUAACUUCACUAGUGAUUUGGGAAGAGAAUUUAUAAAGUGGCCAUCCGCCGAAGAAAGAGCAGAGAUUGAGGCUCAUUUCCGGGGAAAUGGAUUGCCUGGUGCGAUUGGGGCAAUCGACGGUUCACAUACUAGAAUUGAUAGACCUCAGAAAGAUCCCCAGUCCUAUAUGAACAGGAAGAAUUAUUUUUCUAUUCAGCUACAAGUAGUUUCUGACCAUAAUCGACGGAUUAGGGACUUAUUCGUCGGCUAUCCGGGCUCUGUACACGACGGGAGGGUGUUCAGGACGUCCACACUCUACCAAACACUGUAAGAGAAGUGUGGACUGUGGAGAUUUUCAUAUUUUGGGGACAGUGCCUAUCCCUGCACCAGAAAUUUAGUAACACCAUUUAGAAAUACAGGGCAUUUGUCCAGAGUGCAAUGUGAAUUCAGUAUGGCACUCUCAAAAAACAGGUGUGUUGUUGAACAUUGCUUUGACCUGUUAAAGCAGCGUUUCCGACAGUUAUAUCAUUUGAAAUUGAGGAGUGCUAGAGAGAUGGCGCACUUCAUCCGGGCGUGCUGUGUGCUACACAAUCUCGCCGUGGAAGAUAACGAAGGUGAAAAAGAUAAUGCACCGGCUGAAGAACGAGUAGUCUGCUUUUACAACAGGGAUGACAGAAGGGCACUUAUGCAGUUUAGCAGGUAC